rnacentral:rRNA from 1 species
AGUGGCGGACGGGUGAGUAACACGUAAGAAUUUGCCUUUAGGAGGGGGAUAACAACUGGAAACGGUUGCUAAUACCCCAUACGCUUUCGAGUGAAACGGAUUUUUCCGCCUAAAGAGAAGCUUGCGGCUGAUUAGCUUGUUGGUAAGGUAAUGGCUUACCAAGGCGACGAUCAGUAUCUGGUUUGAGAGGACGAUCAGACACACUGGAACUGAGACACGGUCCAGACUCCUACGGGAGGCAGCAGUGGGGAAUUUUCCGCAAUGGGCGAAAGCCUGACGGAGCAAUACCGCGUGAGGGAUGACGGCCUAUGGGUUGUAAACCUCUUUUUUCAGGGAGGAAUAAAUGACGUGUACCUGAAGAAUAAGCAUCGGCUAACUCCGUGCCAGCAGCCGCGGUAAGACGGGGGAUGCAAGUGUUAUCUGGAAUCACUGGGCGUAAAGCGUCUGUAGGUGGUUUAAUAAGUCAACUGUUAAAUCUUGAGGCUCAACCUCGAAAUCGCAGUCGAAACUAUUAGACUAGAGUAUAGUAGGGGUAAAGGGAAUUUCCAGUGGAGCGGUGAAAUGCGUAGAUAUUGGAAAGAGCACCGAUGGCGAAGGCACUUUACUGGGCUAUUACUAACACUGAGAGACGAAAGCUAGGGUAGCAAAUGGGAUUAGAUACCCCAGUAGUCCUAGCCGUAAACAAUGGAUACUAGA